rnacentral:rRNA from 1 species
GACGAACGCUGGCGGCGUGCUUAACACAUGCAAGUCGAACGAAGAGCGAUGGAAGCUUGCUUCUAUCAAUCUUGGUGGCGAACGGGUGAGUAACGCGUAAUCAACCUGCCCUUCAGAGGGGGACAACAGUUGGAAACGACUGCUAAUACCGCAUACGAUCUAAACUCGGCAUCGAGGAUAGAUGAAAGGUGGCCUCUACAUGUAAGCUAUCACUGAAGGAGGGGAUUGCGUCUGAUUAGCUAGUUGGAGGGGUAACGGCCCACCAAGGCGAUGAUCAGUAGCCGGUCUGAGAGGAUGAACGGCCACAUUGGGACUGAGACACGGCCCAGACUCCUACGGGAGGCAGCAGUGGGGAAUCUUCCGCAAUGGACGAAAGUCUGACGGAGCAACGCCGCGUGAGUGAUGACGGCCUUCGGGUUGUAAAGCUCUGUUAAUCGGGACGAAAGGCCUUCUUGCGAAUAGUGAGAAGGAUUGACGGUACCGGAAUAGAAAGCCACGGCUAACUACGUG